ensembl:lncRNA
CGUCGUCACGUGACCGCUGGGGCCCGGCACUUGGUGGGUCACGUGAACUUCCAAACAGCUUAAAGGUGCCAAGCACCUUCUUGCUUUGGCUUAAUCUUUCGCACAGUUCUUAGGCUAGGCUCGCUCGCCGCCGCGCUUCGUGUUUUCUGGAAAGGGAUACGUCCUCUUUUGCCCAGAAGGGGAAGAUACUUGAGCAGAAGGAAGAGACAGAGACUCCAGCUGGGUCCCUUGUGGCGUUUCCCCUAACGUCUCAGCUAAGAUUGGGCAGAACCUUACACUUCUGAGCACACUUGGGCUGUCUUAUAUGCUGUGUUUUCUACUGCAAUCCACUGAUUUUUGCUUCUUAAAAUAUCUGAACAGGUGCAUUUACUGCACCCUGGAAGUUUUUUUCUCACCGGAAGGAGCACUGCAAAGACAGAUAUGAAAACUGAACUGAGAUUAAGAAACAGCUACUAAACACCGGGGUCCUUGGAAGCCAUAUGCUGCAUUGGACUAGGAACCUAGUACACCAAAUUAAAAGUCUGAAAACCUGAAUUCCAGUCCAUUCACAAUUUGCAGACAGGUACAAUACAAACCAACCAAUACCAGAUGUUUAGAUGAUUUUUUAAAGUGUUACAGAGAAGAUGAUAGUGCUGCUGCUGCUGCUAAGUCCCUUCAGUCGUGUCAGACCCUGUGAGACCCCAGAGAUGGCAGCCCACCAGGCUCCGCCAUCCCUGGGAUUCUCCAGGCAAGAACACUGGAGUGGGUUGCCAUUUCCUUCUCCAGUGCAGGAAAGUGAAAAGUGAAAGAAGUCGCUCAGUCCUGUCCGACUCUUUGCAACCCCAUGGACUGCAGCCUACCAGGCUCCUGAGUACCUAAUAAAAUUAGAAAUCUUGG